AUACAUUGUCAUUAAACACAAAUAAAAUUAUUAAAAUGUGUAAAGUUUCAAGACGCACGAAUGCGUUUAUUAUUCUCGGUUCUUUCGCUGUGGCUGUCCCUGUUAUUAUUUUCAUCUUUCAAGAUCAUUUUAGGAGCCGUGCAAUUUAUAAAUAUGUUAUAUCAUAUGGAAUCAUAUUGCUGUGGCCGAUUCUUCUGGUACCAACCAUUUAUUUCAUCUAUAAGAAAAAGAGAUAUAUCAGAUUUUUGGUGCCAUAUGCUUUCAUAUGGUUAGUUCUAAGUUCUUUAAUAUUUAUUUUUUUCCUACUUAAUAUGUUCCAAGUGUUGGAUUACAUCUACUUUUACUUAGAUUUUAGAACGCUCUGCAUCAUAAUGUUUGCAGGUGUUUUUUCAGGGUUUAUGACACCAGUUUCUUUUUAUUGUUAUUACAAAAGAAAAAUGUUGGCUGCGGUUGAAUGAUUUCUCCAACAGCAAUGAAGUGUAAAAUUUAAAGUAAAAAAAUUUUAAAUUUGGACCCAAGAGAAUAGGAAAAAAAGGCUUAAAACGUGAAAAGAAUCCUGUACCAAAUGAAAUUUAAUAAACUUACUUAUAUAAAAAUGUUA